AAAUUGAAGAGUUUGAUCAUGGCUCAGAUUGAACGCUGGCGGCAGGCCUAACACAUGCAAGUCGAACGGUAACAGGAAGCAGCUUGCUGCUUUGCUGACGAGUGGCGGACGGGUGAGUAAUGUCUGGGAAACUGCCUGAUGGAGGGGGAUAACUACUGGAAACGGUGGCUAAUACCGCAUAACGUCGCAAGACCAAAGAGGGGGACCUUCGGGCCUCUUGCCAUCAGAUGUGCCCAGAUGGGAUUAGCUAGUUGGUGAGGUAACGGCUCACCAAGGCGACGAUCCCUAGCUGGUCUGAGAGGAUGACCAGCCACACUGGAACUGAGACACGGUCCAGACUCCUACGGGAGGCAGCAGUGGGGAAUAUUGCACAAUGGGCGCAAGCCUGAUGCAGCCAUGCCGCGUGUAUGAAGAAGGCCUUCGGGUUGUAAAGUACUUUCAGCGGGGAGGAAGGUGUUGUGGUUAAUAACCGCAGCAAUUGACGUUACCCGCAGAAGAAGCACCGGCUAACUCCGUGCCAGCAGCCGCGGUAAUACGGAGGGUGCAAGCGUUAAUCGGAAUUACUGGGCGUAAAGCGCACGCAGGCGGUCUGUCAAGUCGGAUGUGAAAUCCCCGGGCUCAA
rnacentral:rRNA from 1 species